rnacentral:misc_RNA from 1 species
AAGCAUUCUUCUAUCUUCAUUUAUCAGCUCAGUAUCUAAAACUCCUAUACAUGUCAAAUGGGCACUUCUUUUCCCAUCGUAAUAAUUUGUAACGAUGAUCAAACAAUUCAAAACUUAAAAGAUUAGGGGCCGAAAGGUUGAUACUCAAAGAAAAAAGUUUUUGGAAUGGCUUUUACAAAUGCAAUUGAAAACAAAUAAAAGUUCAUUCCUUUUAAGGCCAUUUUGCACAAUUGACAAAUGAAGAAGUACCAGUUCCCAACAAAGAGAAAUUCCUUCAUAAUAGGGUUCAUAAAUCCCCUACAACUUGCACUUCCCAGAUCCAAUUUCUCAUUUUUUUUAACAGAAAACAGUUCUCAACCGAAAAAGAAAAGGUAAUCAAUAACUGAAGCUCUGCAUGCAUGUUGUACAAGUGAAUGAAAAUGAUAGAUAAUUGGCAAAAAUACCUUCAAAACGGAGACGACACGCUCCUGCUCAUCGACUUCCUCGAAAUGCCUUCUCCAUCGAUUCCAAUCCCACUCUUCUUCACCCUU